CCGCGGAGCAAGUUAGCCUCUACACCAGCCAUCUUACUUUCCCAAUAUUCCAACUCACUCGGCCCUUUUCGAUUCAGAGACUCGCCUAUCGUGAUUGUCCAAUAAUGAGGAAGUACAAGUCUAACCGGCGAGUCCAAAUCGACGAUUCCCAGUUGCCCAAGAACGAUGGCGAAGAUGGCGAUGAGGGAGAUGAGAGUAGAAUGCGAUUGAAACCGUCGGGAAGCAAUGUGAGCGAAGAUCAAGAGCCCUUCAUGGGCAUCAAGGUUCGAAG
rnacentral:misc_RNA from 1 species